CUCAAAUUUGAAAUCUGGUCCCCUUUGGGGGCCCGAGUUGUAAUUUGAAGAGGAUGCUUUUGGCGAGGCGCCGUCCGAGUUCCCUGGAACGGGACGCCGCAGAGGGUGAGAGCCCCGUACGGUCGGACGCCGAGCCUCUGUAAAGCUCCUUCGACGAGUCGAGUAGUUUGGGAAUGCUGCUCAAAAUGGGAGGUAAACCCCUUCUAAAGCUAAAUACUGGCCAGAGACCGAUAGCGCACAAGUAGAGUGAUCGAAAGAUGAAAAGCACUUUGAAAAGAGAGUUAAAAAGCACGUGAAAUUGUUAAAAGGGAAGCGCUUGCGACCAGACUUGCGCCCGUCGGAUCAACCGUCGCUUGCGGCGGCGCACUCCGGCGGGCUCAGGCCAGCAUCAGUUCGUCCGGGGGGAGAAAGGCGGCGGGAAUGUGGCUCUUCGGAGUGUUAUAGCCCGCCGUGUAAUACCCUCGGGUGGACUGAGGACCGCGCGUAUGCAAGGAUGCUGGCGUAAUGGUCGUCAGCGACCCGUCUUGAAACACGGACCAAGGAGUCGUCCUAAUAUGCGAGUGUACGGGUGUCAAACCCCUGCGCGUAAUGAAAGUGAACGGAGGUGAGAGCUUCGGCGCAUCAUCGACCGAUCCUGAUGUUCUCGGAUGGAUUUGAGUAAGAGCAUAUUGGGCCGGACCCGAAAGAAGGUGAACUAUGCCUGUGUAGGGUAAAGCCAGAGGAAACUCUGGUGGAGGCUCGCAGCGGUUCUGACGUGCAAAUCGAUCGUCAAACAUGGGCAUGGGGGCGAAAGACUAAUCGAACCUUCUAGUAGCUGGUUUCCGCCGAAGUUUCCCUCAGGAUAGCAGUGUUGAAUUUCUCAGUUUUAUGAGGUAAAGCGAAUGAUUAGGGACUCGGGGGCGCUUUUUAGCCUUCAUCCAUUCUCAAACUUUAAAUAUGUAAGAAGCCCUUGUUACUUC
rnacentral:rRNA from 2 species